CGUACUUCUCGAACACGCGCCUCAAGCUGUCGGGAGAGGCUGAACAGUUGGCUCCUCAGUCCCCAGUUCUCGAGUACAACAACCAUGACCACGACCACGACUGCAACCUCGACCUUGACCUUGACCACGACCACGACCACGACCAGAACCCCAGCUUCCAGUGGAAGGGAGAAGAACCCUGGCUGACAUCCCCAGGAAAGACAAGCCCAGCACGGAAAGCUCCGUGGGUAACCGUCUCCCAAGCACUGCUCGAGCCCAGCACAGGGGCCUUGGACACCCGCCUCUGGAUUCUCUGUGCAAGCGCUCACCCUAUGUGGAUUCAGUCAGGACUUUGGCAGCCUCUGAGACCAGAAGGCCAUGAAGAAGGAAGCCCACUAGAAGCAGUGCCCACUACCCACCCACGCUCACUCUGACAGAAGCACACAAGCUUUGCACUGCCCGUCCUGUGCCAGGUAAAGGGAUCCCGUGAGCUUCAGUGCAUGUACAGUGCUGGCUGUGAGUUUGGCAAGAGCUUCCUGGCUUCACACAGCCACCUGGUCACCAUGCCCAGCUUCCCACAGAGCCAUGUUGUGCCCAUAGUGAGUUACUGCCAGCAGGAAUAAAAAGAUAUGGAGCACAACUCUCCCCAAACUCUGCAGAUUAUGUGAAGACUGAAAACGCUGUUUCAAAGCCAAGGAGACAUCCGUGAUAAGGGGAUACUGAGAGAAACUUUAGACUCCUAAACCUGGGACUUAGGAUAGAACUGAGAGAUCCAUGAAUUCCCUGAAAUAGUAAUAGAUGCUGGUGUGCAUAUAUUUGGUAUGCAGCUGUCAGUAGUCUCUUAAAAUUCAGGAGAAGUGACACAAGUUUUAAUCUAAAAUUUUAAUUAAAUUUAAUUACAAUUUUUGAAUUUCAGAUGACAUUAAAAACUGAUUUACUGCAGGUAUUUAAUCAGAUCUCCAAUCAAGGCAGACGCACAGGGGUAUUAAUGAUGUUCAAUGAAGAAUGUGUAACCUACUCUAAAAGGUGAUUAAAUGGUUUUACCAGGGACACAUGAAGAUAUGUUUACACCAGUGUUCAUAACAGCACCAUGCACAGAGCCAAAAGGUGGAAACCACAUAAGUGUUCAUCAGUGGAAGAACUGAUCAACAAAAUGUGGUAUAUACCUACAGUGGAAUAUUAUUCAGCCUUGAAAAGGAAGGAAAUCUGACACAUGCUGCAACGUAGUUGAACCUGGAGGACAUCAUGCUAAGUCAAAUAAGCUAGACAUGAAAGGACAAAUAUUGUAUCAUUGCACUUACAUGAGGUACCUAAAAUACUGAAAUUAUUAGAGAAAUAAAACAAGGGAUACCAGCAGCCAGGGCAGGCUAUAAUGAGGUGUUACUGUUUAAUGGGUAGAGUACUAGUCUGUGAUGAUGAAAACGUUCUGGAGAUAGAAGGUGUUGAUGGUUGUACAACGAUGGGAAUGUCCUUAAAGCAGCUAAACUAUACACUUAAAAUGGUGAAAAUUGUAAUUUAUACAUGUAUACUAUACCAAAACAAAAAUAAUUAAAAGUUUAAUGGAAGAAAAAGUUGCAUGGCUAUUUAUAAAGGCUGUAUUUUCAUUGUGAAAUUUAGCCUUUAGUAUUAUAAAGAGUCCUUCUAUGUCCCUUUGGUCUACAUUUGUUUGAUAUUAAGAUCUACCACCUCUGUUUCCUUUUGCUUUUGCAUUU
rnacentral:lncRNA from 1 species